rnacentral:rRNA from 1 species
AGCGGAGGAAAAGAAACCAACAGGGAUUACCUCAGUAACGGCGAGUGAAGCGGUAACAGCUCAAAUUUGAAAUCUGGCUCUCGGGCCCGAGUUGUAAUUUGUAGAAGAUGCUUUGGGUGUGGCUCCGGUCUAAGUUCCUUGGAACAGGACGUCAUAGAGGGUGAGAAUCCCGUAUGUGACUGGUCGCCUUCGCCCGUGUAAAGCUCUUUCGACGAGUCGAGUUGUUUGGGAAUGCAGCUCAAAAUGGGUGGUAUAUUUCAUCUAAAGCUAAAUAUUGGCCAGAGACCGAUAGCGCACAAGUAGAGUGAUCGAAAGAUGAAAAGCACUUUGGAAAGAGAGUUAAACAGUACGUGAAAUUGUUGAAAGGGAAGCGCUUGCAACCAGACUUGCAGGCUGUUGAUCAUCCGGGGUUCUCCCCGGUGCACUCGGCAGUUUUCAGGCCAGCAUCGGUUUGAGUGGUGGGAUAAAGGCCUUGGGAAUGUGGCUCUCUUCGGGGAGUGUUAUAGCCCAAGGUGCAAUGCCGCCUACUUGGACCGAGGACCGCGCUUCGGCUAGGAUGCUGGCGUAAUGGUUGUAAGCGACCCGUCUUG